rnacentral:rRNA from 1 species
UACGAAGGGGGCUAGCGUUGUUCGGAAUUACUGGGCGUAAAGCGUGCGCAGGCGGUUUGUUAAGUCUGAUGUGAAAGCCCCGGGCUCAACCUGGGAACUGCAUUGGAAACUGGCAAGCUCGAGUAUGGCAGAGGGGGGUGGAAUUCCGCGUGUAGCAGUGAAAUGCGUAGAGAUGCGGAGGAACACCGAUGGCGAAGGCAGCCCCCUGGGCCAAUACUGACGCUCAGGCACGAAAGCGUGGGGAGCAAACAGGG